rnacentral:rRNA from 1 species
UACGAAGGGGGCUAGCGUUGCUCGGAAUCACUGGGCGUAAAGGGUGCGUAGGCGGGUCUUUAAGUCAGGGGUGAAAUCCUGGAGCUCAACUCCAGAACUGCCCUUUGAUACUGAGGAUCUUGAGUUCGGGAGAGGUGAGUGGAACUGCGAGUGUAGAGGUGAAAUUCGUAGAUAUUCGCAAGAACACCAGUGGCGAAGGCGGCUCACUGGCCCGAUACUGACGCUGAGGCACGAAAGCGUGGG